ACACUACUGACUCCCUCUAAUUUCGUUUGUACACCAAUCAGGCAUAACAUUAUGACCACCUUCCUAAUAUUGUUUUGGUCCCCCUUUUGCUGCCAAAACAGCCCUGACCCAUCGAGGCAUGGGCUCCACUAGACCCUUGAAGGUGUGCUAUAUAUAUAUAUAUAUAAUAUAUAUAUAUAUAUAUAUAUAAUGUAUAUGUUAUACUGUUUUUUUUACAAAACUUUUAGAAGCACAAACAUUUAAUGUUGUUGCUUUGUAUGAAAAAGAACACCUACAGAAUCUAUAUUAAAGUGUUUACUGUUUGGAGCUCAAAAAACAGAGAUUCUGUUUUUACAAACUGCUUUGUGCCUUUUGUGGGGGGAUUGAUUGAGGCUCUCGUGUACAUGUUUGUCCAAGACUCACAGCCUUUCACCAUUGUGGAGGAUGUUGGUUUCAGACAUUUUGUCGGCCUUUUGGAUCCUACAUACAUUCUCCUGUCAAGGCAAACAUUGAAGACAAAGUUUAUGGAGGAGAAAGGUCACGUACACUGCAGCUAAAUUCAGUUGUCAGUUCAUCUUUUAGUGCUUAAUUACGUUCUGUACACACACAGUUCAGUAAAAUACAGGUAGUGACAACCGCAUUUAAAGAAAUUCCACACGGUGUGUACAGAACCAAACUGAACAGCUAGUUGUUAAUCAUGAUUUCACGGGAAGCGCGCCAAUAGGCGUGUAUUGUCAGGUGGCAAAUUUUUACCUCAGAGUUAGCAGGAUGGUGGAGAGAGGUGUGUUGUGGAGCGACCAGAAGACAAAAUAUUGAUUGCAGUAUGGGCCAACAAAGGUAUUCCUAAAAAAAUGGACAGUAUGAAAAGAAAUAAAUUGGUUUUUGAAGAAAUAGCUCAAAAAAUGUCUGCAUAAGGUGUAUGUAGAAGUGCUAAAGAGUGCAGAAUUAAAUUGAAGGCACUGAAGACAGAGUAUAAAAAAAUUAUCGAUCAUAACAAUCGUUCUGGGAGGGAAAGGAAAACAUUCAGGUUUUUUGAGGAUAUGGACAGGAUUCUGCAGGACAACCCUAGCAGCCGCCCAGCAUUUGUAUUUGAUUCAUCCGUCGAGGUUGACGUUACCGUAAGAUGGUUCUUCGCCUGAGAGUGAUGAGGAAAGUGCUAAUGGGUCGACUGUGGAAGAUUGCACGUUCGGAUGUUCAGCGACGGUCUCUGAGGUGACCUCAGGAGAAGAGAGUAACUGCAGUGCCAGUAAUUCAAGUGAAACACAAACAGCUCCACCCCUGUAGGAUGUGAGGGGAGGAUGCAAGGAAAGAAAACAAGUACGGAGGAAUCAAAGGAAAUGUUAUUUGUAUAUUGGAAUGUUCCUGAUCACUCGAGCAUCACUUCAAAGCAUCAUCAGCGCUCAAGGGAUCUGCCCUCAUGUUGUUAAAGUUUGGUUAUUUAAAAAAAGAAAAUCAUAAUAAAUAUUAAUAAUGCAAGAUGUCCCAUUGAAAUAUGUGAGAUGUAAAGUUUAUUUAAACUGCAAAAGUAAAGAAUACAUUUAAAUUAUUGUUCACAGAUGUGACGGGGGAGGAGAAUGUAUAUGUGCGUCAGGUUUCUCGACAAGAAAAACUUCCGCACAGGAUACACCUGUAUAUCCUCGCUCAUAGCUCCUCAGGAAGCUUCCUCACUCCUCGUUCCUCGCCUCCUUGUGAUGCGAAUUGAGAUGUCCUUCAAGAUGGCUGAGUUUGAUCAGUUUCCAGGUCAUAGGAUGGAGGACGGAGGAGCGAGGAAACUAGGAGGGAUAUUGAGAAGCACCCCAGGGAAUGUCUAAUCCUCUUUGGGCCUUUAUAAGUGAAUUGGAUUGUGUCUAAUUUAAUAGGCCUGGUGGUGAAUGGAGGACACUCAGGUGAGAACCAGUGGUGAGGUCAACCAUUGCUUUACCUCCCAAGCACUAGGGGGAGUGCAACCUAUAAAUAAAACACAAACAGCUGAACAAAAGGGAUCUUAACUUAAAUUUAAACUUUGUUUAAACUAAAUUUAAAUAAGUUUAUAAAGUAAAAGAGGCAAGAGGACUGAGUAAUAUAAAAUAAUAGUAAAAAUAAAAAGGCAAACGGAAUGAAAAUAAUGAUAAUUAUAAACAAAAUAAAAUAACUAUAGGAGAAAUUGAAAUCAAACAAUUUAAUUAAAUAAUUAAAAACAAAAACAAAAAAACAAACAGGUUGAGAGAUAAAAGCCGACCUAGCUGAGAAUGCACACAAGGUGGCGUAGAUGAGCCCACACAAAAGAAGUCAGGAGGUCAAGAGGUAGAAUUCGAGAAGUAUUAGACACUUAAACAGACUGUCCUCUACUGUUAGUCAGAGGUAUUAUGACCUAUCCUAACUUCAGAUAUGAUAAAAUCUGAACGCGUUAAUCAGAUUUAAUAAAAAUUAUGGAAUCACAGAUAUUUUUCUUUAUAGCAAAUAAACAACAGAUAUCUCAAACAAAUCCACUUACAUUUUUUAUUAUUAAUGGCAUGUCUUUUUCCAGAGCAAGUAGGGG